GUGACAAGUCCAAGCUUCGAAUAUAUUCCAUUAACUACAACCCUCUGUUGCCUGUUACUCAGCCACUGCCUUACCCAUUCAACUAUAUUUGAAUCCAAACUUAAAGAUUGCAGUUUAUUGAUAAGCCUUCUAUGUGCAACAGUGUCAAAAGCCUUACUGAAAUCUAGGUAAGCAAUGUCUACUGCACCACCCUGAUCUAUAAUUUUAGUUACCCAAUCAAAAAAAUCAAUAAGAUUAGUUUGG